rnacentral:rRNA from 1 species
GACGAACGCUGGCGGCGUGCUUAACACAUGCAAGUCGAGCGGUAAGGCCCUUUCGGGGGUACACGAGCGGCGAACGGGUGAGUAACACGUGGGUGACCUGCCCUCAGCUCUGGGAUAAGCCUGGGAAACUGGGUCUAAUACUGGAUAUGACUCCACGGUGCAUGUCGUGGGGUGGAAAGCCUUGUGCGGCUGAGGAUGGGCCCGCGGCCUAUCAGCUUGUUGGUGGGGUGAUGGCCUACCAAGGCGA